rnacentral:tRNA from 1 species
UCCUGGAUAGCUCAGUUGGUAAAGAAUCUGCCUGCAAUGCAGGAGGCCCCAGUUCGAUUCUUGGGUCAGGAA